UUAGUAGCGGCGAGCGAACAGGGAAGAGCCCAGCGCCGAAUUCCGCGUCUCAAAGGGCGUUUGGAACAUGUGGCGUUUAGGAGGAAUCUCUCCGAGGGCAGACGGUGUCGCAAGUCCCCCUGAACGGGGCUGUGAUCCAGAGCGGGUGCGAGGCCCAUAGCUGGUACCGUCUCCUUUGGGUGUCCCCUCCUUGGAGUCGGGUUGCUUGGGAGUGCAGCCCUAAUUGGGUGGUAAACUCCACCUAAGGCUAAAUACGUCCGUGAGACCGAUAGCAAACAAGUACCGUGAGGGAAAGUUGCAAAGAACUUUGAAGAGAGAGUUCAAGAGUACGUGAAACCGCUCAGAGGCAAACGGGUGGGCCCACGAAAGCCGAAGGCGGGGGGAUUCAGUCGAGAGGACGGUGGGGCAGGACUGGCUGGUUGGACGGACCGUGCCAGGCCGGGUCAGUUCCCGAGAUCUGCCGCCUUUCGACGCAUUUCCCCCUGCUUAGUAGGACGCCGCAACCGGUUGGCGCUGCAGCCAUAAGGGAGAGUAAAUGGAAGGUAGCCAGUGAGUUCUUCUUCGGAGGCGCGAGCUGGUCCUAAGCCGACUCUCCUGGUGCUUGUGGCCCGACCGUGGUCGUGAGUCCCUCAACGGGAUGUCGCCGAGCCCUCUGACUGGAGCAGGAGAAGUGGCAGGCUGCUUUCCGCGGAAAAAAUCGAUCGCUUCACGCGUGCAGUGGGCGAUCUCCGGAGGUAGCUGCUGGUGCGUUUUUCUCCUGCGCUGGGCACAGGCAGUUGGCGGCGAGUAGGUCGGUCACCCACCCGACCCGUCUUGAAACACGGACCAAGGAGUCUAACAUGUGCGCGAGUCAUUGGGUCUUGAACAAGCCCAAAGGCGCAAUGAAAGUGAAGACCAGCACUGAAGCUGGUGGAGUUGGGAAACUGUGUCACUGAAGAUGCAGUUGCACCAACGGCCCGUCCCGUCCGCAUUGUCGGUGGGGCGGAGCGAGAGCGUACACGUUGGGACCCGAAAGAUGGUGAACUAUGCCUGGGCAGGACGAAGCCAGAGGAAACUCUGGUGGAGGUCCG
rnacentral:rRNA from 1 species